rnacentral:rRNA from 1 species
AUACGUAGGUGACAAGCGUUAUCCGGAUUUACUGGGCGUAAAGGGCGUGUAGGCGGUCUUGCAAGUCAGAAGUGAAAUUCCUGAGCUCAACUCGGGCGCUGCUUCUGAAACUGCAGGACUUGAGUGCUGGAGGGGAUAGCGGAAUUCCUAGUGGAGCGGUAAAAUGCGCAGAUAUUAGGAAGAACACCGGUGGCGAAGGCGGCUAUCUGGACAUUAACUGACGCUGAGGCGCGAAAGCGUGGGGAGCAAACAGGAUUAGAUGCCCGGGUAGUCCACGCCGUAAACGAUGAAUACUAGGUGUAGGGGGUAUCGACUCCCUCUGUGCCGCAGUUAACACAAUAAGUAUUCCGCCUGGGGAGUACGGCCGCAAGGUUGAAACUCAAAUGAAUUGACGGGG